GGCUCGCCCCGCCGCCACCGCCGCCACCGCCGCGCCCGCAGCCCCGGGGACUUGCCCGGCGCGGCCGGCGGCCGUUGCGGCCGGCGGUUGCGGGCGGGCCGCCGCGCCGGGCUGAGGGAGCGGGCGGCCCCUCGGGCAAGGCUGCGCCGCCGUCCAGCCGCGGCGGGCGGGCAGCGCGGCGGAGGUGGCCUCCCGGGGCGGAAAGGUGUGCCGGGAGGGCUCCUCGCCGUGCUGCGAGGGCUUGCUGCUGCCGCGGCGCCCGCGGAGGGGAUGAAGUACGCGGCGUGAACGGUUGGUCGUCCUGACCGUUAUGCGCUCGGCGUUCCGAGCUGAAAGUAUCCGUCCGGAGAGGAGGAGAAGGGAGGAAGAGUUAAUUAAUGUCUUUCAUUACAAAGAUGUUUCCAAAAGUUUUGUUUCCAGAAGAGUCUUCCAGCUUGAAAUGCAAACAGAUGAUAUGUUUCUGAACAUGCUAGAACUGUGCUAGACUUCAUCCCAGGCUUUUGCCUUUUGGGGGCUUGUUAACCUCUGAGAGGGUAUGUACUGCCACGCCAGCCUGUCUCUACCGUUCCUUCCCUUGGGGUCAAGGACAGUACUCUAGGAGGACAUCUGCUCCACCGCUGCAGAUAGGUGCCCUUUAACAAGCUGAAGAGAAGUAAUGCUCUCCUAUCUGAUCAGACAUGGAAAGGGUUCCUGCGGUAUCAAGAGCAACGUGGGAAAAAGCAGUUAAAGAAAAGUUGUAGAAUGGACCUCCAAACAGGAAAAUUGUCAAUGUUAAGACUGCUAGAGAAAAUUAACAUCUUAGCCCUGUGAUUCAUCUGGUGCUCAGCUUGAAACUGAAGUCUGGGAAAAGAAAAUUGAGGUUGCUAUUACAAGAGAUCUUUGUUUAUUCUCUGUAGGCAUGCAGCUUUCUAUAAAAAUGUCUAAAGAUGACUCUACUGGCAUACACGUUUCUAUAAAAAUGCUCAAAGGUUGCCAAAUAUCUUUUUAUAUGUUGAAUUCAUUGAUGAUUGAAUGGCUGAUAUAAAAUGCACAAAAAUCUAAAUGGAACCUGAGCUGGUUUGUUGCUAAAUGCAAUUAUUUCUGUUUAUACAGUGUUGUUGUGGUGGUGAUUUUUUUUUCUUUUUGCCUUUAGACAGUCUUAUUCUCCUCUUUCAUGCCUAACAAAUUGCCUUGAGCUAGCUAAAGUUUCAGGAUCUUUAAUCCUUGGAAAUUGAUGGUGAUUUGUAUUUUUAAGCUAUCUUUUCACCAAUAAGUGGUUUUUUUUCAGCAUAAUCUUUUUUUUUCCAGGAAAACUAACAGUUUUGUAUUUACUCAUAGUCAAGACAUAACUGUCUGCCAGAUUUUGUAAAGGGUUGCUCAAUACAUUAGAGUUGUAAAAAAGCAAUAUAAGCAAAAAAGGAGGUCAAGCUUCUCUACCAAAUAAACUCCCAUGCAGGAUCAGGGUUAAAGCAGAAGCACUGCAAAAAGAAAGUCUGUUUGUUUGUACGGACUCGAAAAUCUUGUUAAAAAGCAUGUAAACCAUCUACAUAGAUACAAGCAGCUGUCUGCUGCAAUGUGUCCAUGUUCAAAGUAUCUGUACAGCUCCUUUACAUACACACUGUUUAAUAACUAAAAUUCAGACUGAUAGCCCUUCACAGCAUUAGAGCCACAAAACUUAGACACUGCAGAACUCAACCUUUAAUAUUGCAGUUAUUGGAACUGAAUAUACGGAGAAAGCCCGUGUGCUGCGAGAGGGACCAGUGAAAGUCGGGGAACAGCAGGGUUGCAAGCAGACGCCUUGUCCACUCAAUAUCCACAGCAAGGAAAUCUCUCCUGAAGGCACACAGGACAUGUGCGUUAAACUGCAGAGAUGGGGGCUGUCCUAGGUUUCUGCAGAGAAACUGCAGUAUGAAAAAGCAAGCUGCCUACUGGCUUAGGUGCCUCUGAGAUUAGGUGGCUUCUCAGCAGGAGCUGCUGGAUGGCUUUGGACAUUUGGGACUUAAAGCAGCCUUAGGAAAAAAAUGCCGUGUAUACAACCUCUAUUGACCCAGCUUUCUGGUUACCAGAACAAAACCAAGUGGAGACUCACCUCCAAAGCACCUUCAAAACAGAAGAGCAGUCUGAAUUCAGGGUACUGAAAAGUUUCUUGGUAAACAAUACAGAAUACAGCACUGAGAAUCAAGUAAGAUUCCUGACAAGCUCCUGCUCUGGAAAACACAGAAUUAAGAAACCCACCUCAGACAGGCCUUCAAACAACUGAAUACUGAAUGGUCAGCCCUCAAGAUACAGUUUGCAAACUGCAGUUCCUUUGCUGAAAAUGUCUAAAAGUGCCUAGGAAACAAAACCUUAAGAUUACGUACAAAUUUCUUUUUUGCUUAUUAACUGAAACCACAUACAGAUUCAGAUUCUACUAGUUUUACAUGGUCAAAAUUGUGCCUGACUGUCCCUGUCAUACUGUUUUUCUCUUUUUCCAUAAUGAAGCGCAACCUCUACAGCUAAGCUAUCGCUAGAAGCAGCAGCGAGUUGCCCUCUCUUUGCCUCCUCUGUCACGGUCUUGCUGACCUGGCUGAUAGCAAUCAGGAUCUUCGGGAGUCAGAGAGUUCAAGCAUUGCCUUGCAGAAAUGUUAAUAUAGUAGCUUCCCAGCCUGUCCGGAUUUCUACGGCAGCGAAGGAAAUGCUCAUUUUGAUGCCCAGUGGGCUACUGCAUGUUUAUAACCAGGUGGAAGGAAUGUGCCAAGAAAUCACAGUGCAAGGUCUUGCCUUUCCCCAUCGUGUCGCGUUGUUCAGGCCUUCAGCGUGCCCAAGGCACAACAGAUUCUACCUGGGACACAGCCUCAGCGAGAAAUGCCUCAUUUAAUCUGAAGGAUUAAAAUCACAGGGGCAUAAAUCCACUGACUCAUUUGAUGUUGUCAUUGACAGAAAAGGAAAAAUGAAAAUGGAGCUUGAUUUCCUGAUGCUGCCUAAAAAUCUACCCUGUAAAAUGGUAUAAUCUGAAUCUUUCUAAACCUGAAAGAGAAUAAAUAUAUAUUUUGUACUUUUACGGAUACUACAUUAGUGUUUUUGCUUUAAGCACAAAAUCAGUAGUUUUAUCUCUCAGUUCUCUUAUUUCAGAGAAGUUAAAGAUGCUCACUGAUGUUCUUUCAUAUGCCUUGAGUCAGUUUUUAAAUUACUUCUAUCGAGAGUUUUGUAAAAACAUACACUUCAGAUCCCCAGCAGGUCUGAUUACUUCUGUCUGUAACCUAGUGUUUAUAUCACUGUGUUAACGCCUAUGUUAUGCUUCCUUAUGACUUUUACAAAUUUGAAUUCAUCUAGGUGCUGUUUAAUAAUGUUUUUUUGUGUUCUCUCUUGGUUAGCAUACACUAAGCCAAACUAAAGGAAAAUAUUUUACAGAGUUUUAGUGAGAAGAGUAACCACUAAAAAUGCAGUGAAAUGAAUGCUCAGAGUUAAUACAGUUUCUUCUUAGAAAACAGUUGACAUAGUCAAUGUUACAAAAAAUAAGUGCUAGUGAAAAUUAUUUUUAGGCAUUUAAAGUAGUAAGAAGGAAUAUGGGCAACCUAUACACAACAGAUAAUUUUUCGGAAGGAUUUAACUGCAGCUAUCAAUGACACUGUCAACUGAUUCUAAGAAAUGGUCCAAAAUAUUUGCGUAAAAGCUAAUCAUUGUACAAAAUUGCCAUAUUUAUCAUGGAACUAUGCGAAGAAUUGACGGUUUACUGCAUUUGACAGUAUGCUGGUAGAGUGUUACUGCUUCAUAAUUCUAAUUGAAAGACAGAGCCACUUAACAUUUAUGGAAUAAAUGGAAUAAUGCUUCUAAUUAUGACAAACCAUAUUUUAGUAGCUAUCUUUAGGAAACAUUCUGUAAAGAAUCAU